GGGAAACGUCCAGAACCCCGAAAUGUGGAGAAAACAACCUUCUUUUCACGGGGGCGUGGCCCGCCGGUUGCAGUACGCGAAAUUGGCAAAAUGAUGUAAACAGGGAAGUUCGGCAGAUUUCAGUUCAUUGUAAACUUGCCAAGGGAUCCGCCCACAGACACGAGAGAGCUGCUUUGGGACAGUGAAUUACUCUUCUUUUGAGACGGUCUAAUGAUGCCUGGGUGGUGCCUUCGUAGGAUGGUCGUCACACCUGAACAAGGGGGUCCCUGGCCCCAGGCCCCAUGCUUUACUGGGCCCUGUUCUGUCCCUCUUCUGGCAUCAUCUCCCAUGGAGAAAAGAAUGUGUUGAAGCCAAGAAGAUGCUCCCCCCGCAAGAAUAUCAUCUCUGCUAGAACAGGGGCUGGAGUGUAACGGCAUGAUCUCGGCUCACUGCACCCUCGACUUCCUGGAUUCAGGUGAUCCCCUCACCUCAGCCUCCCUAGUAGCUGGUGUGUCCGGAAUUGGUGGGUUCUUGGUCUCACUGACUUCAAGAAUGAAGCCGUGGACCCUCGCGGCUGUCAAGGGGAAAGGGAGGAUCCAUAGGCACAUCAGAGCAAUCCUUUCUGUGAAGAGUGUGGUUAGCUUGUGGGGAAGGGAUGAUUUUCCACCCCACCCCUCCAACUCAAGGCAAGUAACUCUGCUUCCAAAGAAGCCCACCUGGAAUGUGGGUGUUGCCUGCCAGUAAGGGAGAAACCCUGGAUGCCAGGGUCAAGCCUGAGGAAGUCCAGGAGAUGGCUAGCGGAAGGCAGGCCUGCGAGGGG
rnacentral:lncRNA from 1 species